rnacentral:piRNA from 1 species
UACAAGUCCAGGUUCGAAUAAGAUUAACAUU